rnacentral:tRNA from 1 species
UGCGGGGUGGUCCAGUCGGUAAGACGCCGGCCCCAUACGCCGGAGAUCGCGGGUUCGAACCCCGCCCCCGCCA